rnacentral:rRNA from 1 species
GCUGGCGGCGUGGCUAAGACAUGCAAGUCGAACGGACUGGUCAAUUUAUUGAACAGUUAGUGGCGAAAGGGUUAGUAACGGAUAGGUAACGUACCCUGUGCUUUGGGAUAGCGUCAGUUACUUCGGUAACUUUCCGAAAGGGGCGGUAAUACCAGAUAAUAUCCUUUGUCGAUAGGCAGAUGAUCAAAGAUUUAUCGGCAUAGGAGCGGCCUGUCUCCUAUCAGCUUGUUAGUGAGGUAAUGGCUCACCAAGGCAACGACGGGUAGCGGGACUGAGAGGUUGACCCGCAACAUCGGGACUGAGACACUGCCCGGACCUCCACGGAGGGCUGCAGUAACGGAUAUUGUGCAAUGGGCGAAAGCCUGACACAGCGACGCCGCGUGUAGGAGGAAGUCCCUCGGGAUGUAAACUACUGUCAGGGGUAAGAAAGUGCGCUCCGGCGUAUUGAUCUAACCCAGAGGAA